GGGUAUAUAGCUUAAUGGUAAAGCAGUAAACUUUUAAUUUAUUGAUUUUAGGUUCGAGUCCUAAUACACCCA
rnacentral:tRNA from 2 species